rnacentral:rRNA from 1 species
GACGAACGCUGGCGGCGUGCUUAACACAUGCAAGUCGAACGGAGUGGCGAACGGGUGAGUAACACGUAGGUGAUCUGCCUUGCAAUUCGGGAUAAGCUUGGGAAACUGGGUCUCCUACCGGAUAUUACACGAUGGGCCCGCGGACGAUCAGAUUGUUGGUGGGGUAAUGGCAUACACAGGCGUCGACGGGUAGCCGGACUGAGAGGGUGUCCGGCCACAGUGGGACUGAGAUACGGCCCAGACUCCUACGGGAGGAAGCAGUGGGGAAUAUUGCACAAUGGGCGGAAGCCUGAUGCAGCGACGCCGCGUGGGGGAGGAAUGCCUUCGGGUUGUAAACUCCUUUCGACAGGGACGCGGUACCUGUAUAAGAAGCACCGGCUAACUACGUGCCAGCAGCCGCGGUAAUUC